ensembl:lncRNA
CAUUACAGGCAGCUUCUAUUCUCUAACUUGGUCAUUUUAAACUUUUCCCUUUCAAGAUUAAUGUGCCUUUAGACAUGGCCAAUUGCAAAUGCAGGAUCUAGCCAAAUGAAAACACACAUCACAGCUAGUUUUUCUCAAUUACUUCUCAAAAAUCUUUUGAAGACAAUCCAUACAGCAAUUUUUGACAUAUGCAAAAACUGGAACAAUUUUAUUUCCUGCUUGACCAACCUGAUCUCCUUCUAUGAUCUAGUGACCUGUCUGGUGGAUGAGGGAAAUGCUACUGAUGUAGUCUACCUAGACUUCAGCAAAGCCUUUGACACUGCCUUUCACAGUAUUCUCCUGCAGAAGCUGGCAGCCCAUGGCUUGGACAGGCUUCUGAUUGCCCUGGCUCAUCACUGAGGGGGCUGAUAUGGAAGACAAAACCAGCUGACAUCCCACAAUGUCAUUCAGCAAAUCCCAUGCUCUUCUCUAGCAGCAGCCAGCGCUGAGGAGGUUAGAGUAUGGUCACAUUUCACUGUUAAAUUCUCCCAGCCAUUAUACAGAUACAAUUUUUAAUCUUUGCAUCAAAACAUAGCAUUUUUGACAUGAAAUGGAAAGUUAUAAAUCUGUUCAAAUCUCAGGCCACUCUGCACAAGUAUUUUUUUGAAGUAGAGGGGAUGCUGCUUUGCUUCCCUUUUUGUAGCUGUCGAUGUGAGUCUUUAUAUUGCAAUAUGCUCUUCUCCAUGCGUGAUUUACUUUUUCUAUUUUAACAGCUGAUUAUAUAGCUAUAUAGCUGAUUAUAUAGCUAUGACUUUGGUUUCAUAGUUUCAUAGUGAUUUGGCUUAAUAGGUAAUAGCAGGUGCUGUAGUUUCACAAACAACUUUUAAUGAGCCUAUAGGAGUCCUAGUCAAAGAAGUAUUUUCUAUUUUUUUCCAUUCUGCUUAAAGAAAAAUGUUGAUAGCAACAUGUGCUCAGCAGCUCCUUUGUAGUUUUCAAGGAAACUUUGUUUGCAUUAAAAAAGGUGUUGUUUACUGGGAACAUGAUAUGCUCACUGUUCACUCCUUAAACCAGACAGGAAAGAGGGAGAAAGUAAUAUACUGCAUAUUGAAGCACUAUCAGCUUCCUUAUGCUAUGCUUUUGUCCCGGUUAGGAUUCAGCCUCAGCAGGGGCUUAUGUUCAAAGAGAUGAUGUAUGUUACACAAAAAAAGCUUUCAUGCUAGAAUUGCUAUCUAGAGGUGAACUUUGUUUUCUGUCUUGCUGUAACUCCCUUUGUCUUUAAAACUUGUUCAAAGACUUUCACCAGCAUGAGCAAGGUCAGUCACAGAAAAAAAAAUCACUGGAUUUAUCACCGUUGUCACAUUUAUUGAUUUGUCUAACAUGCCAAAAUAACGAAUUAGCAUGGUGAUAGCAUAUUUUAAGUUGCAGAUUGCAGAGACUCUUGCCGUUCAUCAGAGCUGUGCACCAUCAUCAUUUCAGAGAGCAGAGCAGUGAGCAUCUGCAAGAGCAAGUUCCCAUGCAUUGUGCUUUGAAGAUGUCGUGAACGCAGUAGCCACUAGCAGAUGGACAUAUAUGUUUCCACAACUUAUCGUACAAGCACUACACAAAUAUCAUUCAUUACACUUCAGCAUGCUGUACCUGAGUCAGCUAGGAAAAAAAGGGAGAAUCAUUACACACCACAACAAGGGAACAACAUGUUACAGAGCAUGUAUAUAGCACGCUUGGUUGCAGGGUAGGCUGUUUCUGUGUUUGAAAUUAAUUUGUCUAUUUUAUUUUAUGUAAGACACUUGAAAUUCUCCCCCCCCACCCCCCCACUCUAAUAGUGUGCUUUCAUUGUUCUUGUAAGGCAUUAGGACAGUACAUCUAGAUUACAAUAUAAGAUUCAAUUUUGCAAGCCUUCCCUGUCGUGAGAACCCAUGUUAGGUGUAGAGGGACUCCCUCACCUCUGUGCCUGUGUGUCACACUGCCCUACACAGCUAGCUAGCACACCAUGCAGGGCCAGAUGGGCAAAGACAGGCAGCAGCCUAAGAGCUGUUGUGCUGUUUGCACCUCUGAUGAGUCAGUUCUGCAGCACUCCAAACACAAACUCGUGUUUUGUGGCGUAUUUCAACUCUAACUAGCAAAGGAGCAUAAAGAAAAGGAAGCCACAACAUCAAAACCAGCAAACCCAAAAUAAAUAAAUAAGAGUAAUAACAAAACACAACAGAGUACAUGCAGAAAAGUACACAGAGGAUGCAUAUUUCCUUUAAAGAUUGAACCAAGGAAAUGGCUUUUUACCCUUCCCCCCCCCCCCCCAUCCCUGAUUUUUUAAUCUUUCAGCUAUAGGCUUUAAACUUGAAACCUAUUUUUGUGAAUUCAGCAGACAUAGUUGCUAUGGAAAAUACGUAAUUCUCCUCCAGGGUAGGUAGAAGAUAAAAGCGAGAGUGUCACCACUCAAGUCAUUUGACUGGAGGCUCAGUGGGGCAGGGCUUUUCCUCCCUGCCUACCUGAAGAGUACCAGUAAUGCUUAUGGGCACUUUGCAAAUAUUAACAAAUCAGAUGAGAAUUUCUGAGCUGGCUGGAAAAGCAAGAACAAUACAAAUAAGCAGCAGGGGAGGUGAAAAAGCAUGCAAAUCAAUCUAUACUUUCCGGUCUGUAGGUCCCAAGCCUCAUUACCUUUGAAACUUUUGGUAGUGCUUAAGCAGCACUCUAGUUUCUUUCUUUAAGAUGGAAGCGGGGUCUGCCAUCCACGAUUUAAUGAGCAUCAAGGAGAUCAAAAGAGCCAAGGCAGAGAGAUUCCAAUUGUCAUCUUAAAAUAAAUUAUUUCUGUAUUUGUUUAUUUAUAAUUCUUUAUCUUCUUUAUCUUAUAAUUAUUUCUAUUCCUGUUUUAUACAUAUAUUCGGGGGAUGUUUAGAAGAGGAUGGCAUUAUCGCUUUCUAGAGAGAUGAGGAAAAACAGUAAUGUGCCCUUUAUGAUCAAAGUAGAUUUAUGUUUAUCAUAUAUUGCUUUUCAUCUUCAGCACUCUCUGAAAAGAUGCAUGUAUUAAACCUUAAAACAUUCUUAUGAGGUACAUAAGAUAAGGUCAAACUCAUUUUCUAUGUGGAAAAAAACUGUGCCAGAGAGAAUUUUACUCCUCCGUGCAUGAGAAGAGUGACUGUUGGUGUGAGGGAAGGGAAGUCCAAGUGGGAAAAACAAUCAGAGCAAUGAGAGGCUUGUUUCUUGUCAUUCCCUGUCACUGAAAAUUUUAAUUCUAAAAUCUGGAGGGGUAGAGUAGCAGUUUUUUUUUUCAGAGGUAGAGGGGUUAAACUGUAAAAUAUAUAUAAAAACAUGUCUAUAUACAUAAACCCAUUAGAAGGAGAGUACAUGUACCAAAAGGAAAAACUUGAAUGACAUUCCUUUUAUGCGACAAGAGCAAAACUUGAGCAGGCAGUCUCAGUUCAUUCUUCCUGCACGUAUUACGAAAACAGUCAUAACUAAGAGUCACAAGCAUUACUUUUUGUUCUGCAGAACUACUGCUCCCUCAGUAGAAGCAAUAAUUAUUCAGCACAGUCCACCAUACAUUCCCAACCCUUUUUUAGUGUCCAGUAGCUAACUACAGAAAUACAAAUAUCUCUGGGGGUUUCCCCAGGAGGUCCUUGUCUCUGCUAGCUUGAGGAAGUGAUGCUUUACAGGGUUACACCUUGGGUCAGCAGUCAGAGCUCAGCAUUAAUAGCACCAGCACAGACUUCUAUAAAGACAUAUCCUGUGACUCAGUCCCUACCACGGUACAGAAGUGCUUGGUGGCACAACUCUUGGCCUGUCUGUCACUUCUCAAAAUGGUCUGGCCAUUGUAUCCCUCACCUUCCUCUCUGUGAACACACACACCUCCCAAAAAGACGAGUAAACCUUGGACACAAACUUUGUGUGUAGAUAGAGGUGGCCCAUAUGAUAUUUAUUCUACAAACUAGAGGGGUUGCACAAAACUUAGGCUGAGGCUCAUUUAUCAGCUUCAGUCCUAAUAUUCAGAAAACAAAUAUGGUUAGGGCAGCUUUUGCUUCGUCUCCACAGAAUGACAGAGUUAUAUUGAGUGCAGCCUCACCAAACGAACAGCACAAAUAUGCAUGCAGUGCUAGCACUGUAUUAGUCCUGAGGACAGAGCAGCUCUUCUCAAAUGCAAACAUGUAUGAUUUAACAGCUUCUACUGACCGAGGUUAUUUCAACCAUGCUGUACUAUAAAAUAGGUUUUUUCUGUUAAAAUUAAAGUGAAAGGUGAAUAUUUAUGUGUACCACUUGGAAGCCAGAGAUAUUUCUUCAAACAAACUCCAGCCUUGCUGAAAAAUAACGACCUCACACGUUGGGCAGCGCAAAAAGCCAGCGAUUAGCAGGGUGGAUAUCCAUGGGGUGUUGGUGAUGUCAGCACGUUCGAGGAGGUCUUGGGACCAAAAUGGAUUUAGUGGCUUUUAGUGACACCUACUGGCGUAUUCUCGCGUAGGAGAAGCACAAACGGUUUUAAUUUCUGAAAUUUCUUUAGUCAAAGGAAUGGCUCUUCCGCGUUCUCUACUGAAGAUUACCUCUCUGCUUCCCCAUUACAUUCUGAAUGGUACAAGAUGACAGGGGGGGCUACGAGGACAGGCAGUAAGCACCAUACACUCUAUAAAUGAAAGAAUGGCUUCAUAAAGUACAGGAAUGGGAGAAAAAUCAUUGUUCUCUAUGCCUAUCAAACCCAGAUGUCCGGGAAUAGAUUUCAGUGCCGUCGGAAAUCACAGUAGAGAGACACACGAUGCACUGCUUUGGGGCAGGGAUGAGAGCUGGGUGAGGCAGGACUUUUGGCAUAAAACUGCUGACAAUUGCUUCGUGUCUUAAGGAGUACACAGCAGGAUACUUUAUGGGGGUCUAGUGGCUCUCAUAACGUUUGUAAUGUUUUUCUGAUCUUUUUUAGCUUACUUGACUUUUCUACACCCUUUUCCCAGCGUGACAUAAUCUUCUGCUGGUGUCCAGCUUACGUUUAAUUCAUUCUUAAAAUGCACCUUACCUGCCUAAGCGAUGGGUCUUUUCCAGCAGGUGUCACUGUGAAGUAAUAAAUAGAAAAUCCACCCCCACUGGCAGUGUCAGGAGCUGGCAGGGGCAGCAAGAUUUGAGAGCCUAGCUGGGCCAAGGGCCAACAGCAAGCUCUGUGCUAGCACCUAACCCUAAAAAAGAGGCUGCCAUUAAACCUCAGAGGAGGAAGCCACAGGUUUUACCCAGUGUCCGAUGAAGGGCUGUAGGACACACCCAUCCUCCUGCAGCUGGACAGCAUGCCCCUGCCUGAGAUGCCCAUGGGUUGAGCCACCAGCAUCUCAGCAGCGGCAGAGCACUGACUUUUGAAUGUCUGAACCCUUUUGCGUGACAAAUUCUUGCAGCCACAGGGAGCUGAGCCUAUAUUUUCUACUUUGGUCUUCAUGAAGGCCUUUAUUUCCUUUAUCUGUAGAACAGGGCUGGUUUUCAGGAGCUAGUUUUCCGAAGCCAGUUGAAGCCAUGGAUGCAUGUGCCUGCCUAGGACUGGCUUUAGAGAGCCAGAUUUGAAAAUGACAGUGACACUUUUUUAUUUGGUUGCAGUCAAAUUUAAAAACUUUGCUGUCUGCAGGACUCCAGCUCAGGUUUGUUAGCUAUUCUAAAGCUCCAUACUGAUUUUGCAUUUUUGCUGUUAUUAACAAUUUGAUACCAACAAGUCUGGGAAAUCAGCUAAUUCACUUGCACUUUUAUGAGCAGUUCAAUUAUGUAACUUAUUUCAUUACUGUUAUACAAAAUGUACCGUGGGUAGACUUAGACAUAGAAAUGGAUGAGGAAGUUUUUUGACAGCAUUUUUUUUCUCAGAAAAAUAUUACAUAUUAAUGGCAUUUUGCAAAACUACACCAGUCUUGAUGAACCUUCCUUUAGAAGAAACCAAAGGACAGGAGCUUAAAACUAACAACAUCUGAAAGCUGAUGAGAGGGCACCCCGCUUGUCUCUGCAUGAAGCGCUCUAUUCCAGACCACGCUUGUCUCUGGUUCUUGACUGCUGCCUUUUAGAGUGCCAGGACAAUAAAGCUCCACUGUACUGCAGAUUUUAUUCUAUUCUCUUUCAAGAAACGAUUUUCAAAUAGUUGUCACAGAAAGGGAAUUUAAUUGCUUUCUUUCCUAAUUAAAAAAAAAAAAAAAACAAAACUAAAAAACUCAAAACCUAUCAUCAAGAAGCUUAACCUACUUAGCUUGUCUAUGACUGAUAGCAUUAUUGGAGUGUAGGGGUUACACAGACAAGACUUUUGCAGAUAAUUUCUUAUCAGCACAUGGUGUUAAAACUAACCUGAUAAUUCUCAAAGCUUCUGAUUCCCACUGCAGUGGGAAAAGCUGAUACUUAUUAGCAUUAGUUAAAAUCACACACCUUCUUUGUUCAGUACUUUGAAAAGGUGUUUUCAAACAAUAGGGUUCUGUUUUGUCAGUAAUUUAGAAAUGGCCUGGUAGAUUUUGCCCUGUUGUCUUAAUUUAAUUUGGAAAAAGAAAAGGUUCUUGGUACAAUUUGGAAGUUUGAAGUUGUUGUACCCUACAAAACACUUUUGCAAAGACAACACUGUCUCCAUGGAGACCCUAAAAAGGUAUUUCAAAACAAGCAUCAGCUUUAUGUUUUGCUAUUUAAAGCAUGCAGUAUGACAUGAGAGAACAAAUUUCUAAGUGUGAUUUUUGUCUUUUGAUCUCUGAAGAUAAACUUCCUUGAGGUGAGCAGAUUAACAAGCACAGGACACAAAUUAAUUGCUUCUAGUCUGCACUAUAAUUUUCACUUUUUGAAUUACUUUUAAUGAAAAAACCCCUUUCCCUUAUGUAUGUUGUAAUAAAGUAACAUAAAUAAAUGUGACCUUUCUUGGAUUUUUCCCUCCAUUAGCUGCUUCUUUUCUUGUGCAAAACUUAUCCAGUACCAUGAGUGAGAAUGUGAUUAUAUAAAGAUGUACGAAGCCUACACAACACUACUUAGAAACUUAUCAAAGUUUCAGAUCUGUGAUGUGUAUGUUAUUUUCUUCUUACUCUUCAUGACUCAGAAACUCAGUUAAGUAAAAAUAUUUUACUGGAUUUGUGUCUCAGUGAAACAUUAAUAUGUUUAAGAGAUUUUCACCUAACUUACAUUCAUGUUUAUGGAAAAUUUAUGGAGGGAGUGACAGAGGGAUGAGGUUUUCUGCUACCUGCCCAAGUGGAGAUCACUGCAGAAGGGACUCACAGAGACAUGCUGAUUCCAACUUCAGCUUGAGAGCAGAAGUCCCAGCUGUAUAACUAGCAUGUGUGGUUCUUGUAGCAUGGCAUGGACCCAGCUGAUGAUACUCCAUUCCAUUCACCAUGCCUUACACAAGACCAUGGACCCUGCUUGAAUCAUACUUGGUUUGAAAACCAGUAGUUGCCUACUCAGUGGAAAAUUCUAGGUACUUUGGUAACCACUCAAGAAAGUUCAGAAGGAACUGAGGAAAACAGUAAACAGAAUCAUUGAGAGCCAGUAUGAAAUGUUAGAUAUGUCAGAUGUUUCGUUUCACUAGCUGUCCAUGUUACUGAUUAAGAAGAAAAAUUGCUAAAGACUAGUCCAUCUCAUAAAACUCUUGAGUUGUGAAUGCUGUGUGUGAUGCUUUUAUGAUGUCACUUGCAAUGUAGUAUAAUAAAAUUAAAGAAAUCCAGACCCUCUUUAUUGAGAUAUACAGUGAAAUGUUUAUGUCAAAAUCCCUUUUAUGUUACAAAAUGUCUUUGUUGCAUCUUUUAAGGCUCUAAGUUAUCAUUAAACAUGUUAUGGAGGGCUACUGCCAUAAUCACUCAAAAGACAUAAAUAUAGCUGUGUCUUCUAAGAUCAAAUUCCGUUGUAAUGAAUACUGGAAAGAAAGAAAAGUGAAUUGUUGUGUUUCUUUAUAAUUCUUCCUCUAAAUCAUUAAAGAAUGAAAAACAAACCAG